rnacentral:tRNA from 1 species
GGGGGUAUAGCUCAGUGGUAGAGUGCAUGCUUAGCAUGCAUGAGGUCCUGGGUUCAAUCCCCAGUACUCCUG